GUUUCAGCAGCCGCGGUAAUACGAAGGUGGCAAGCGUUACUCGGAAUUACUAGGCGUAAAGGGCAGGUAGGUGGUUUGGUAAGUCUGUUGUGAAAGCUCCCGGCUUAACUGGGAGAGGUCAACAGAAACUACCAGGCUUGAGUGUGGGAGAGGAUACUGGAAUUCCCGGUGUAGCGGUGAAAUGCGCAGAGAUCGGGAGGAACACCUAUGGCGAAAGCAGGUAUCUGGACCACUACUGACACUCAGCUGCGAAAGCUAGGGGAGCAAACAGGAUUAGAAACCCCCGUAGUCC
rnacentral:rRNA from 1 species